rnacentral:lncRNA from 1 species
UUUUUUUUGAGUUGUACCGAGGAGAAGACCACAAUGAAAAUGUUGAGUGGCUCUCAUAUGAAUAAUUGUUGAACUAAUAAAGAUCACAUUUUACCUUGUCUUCUCCUAUUGAAUAAAAUGUUUGCAGAUUCCAGCUUAGUCCAUGGCACUCUUGCACUAUUAUUAUUUUCAUAUCGUUUGGUCGUGCAAGUGAAAGGCAAUAAUGACGAUAUUUGAUGAACAGGCCGUGGCAGAGAGAAACUGGUAUGAACUCGACUUGUUCUGUUUGUGUAAAUAUGUUUAACCUAGUAUCCAUGAUUCAGCUCAUUAUGAUUAAACAUGUUUGCAAUGACAAUUAGAGAUUAUAGUUUCUCAUGCCAUGCAUAAGUAGCUAGGAGUGGAUAAUGAUUUAUCUUGGAUAUCAACAUUGCGUUACAAUGAUUGUGAUGUAGUAUGAUGAUAUGGUAUCCUCCUCUGAAUGUUCGAGUGGCUUGACUUGGCACAUGUUCAUGCAUGUAGUUGAAUUAAAACCAACAUAGCCUCUAUAAUAUUUAUGUUGAUGGUGUUCAUAUCCUACUCAUGCUAGUGUCAGAUGUGACUUAUGCAUAAUGCAUGUUUAUGACCGUUGUUUUUCUCUAGCUGGCCGCUUCUCAAUCAAAUUGCUAGCCUUCGGCUGUACUAAGUGGGGACUCUGCUUGUACAUCAAAAACCUUGAACCCAAAGUUAUUCCAGAUGAGUCCACCAUACCUACCUAUAUGCGGUAUUACCCUGCCGUCCUAAGUAAAUUUGCAUGUGCCACCUCUAAAAACUUCUAAAUAAAUAUCCUUUUUGUGUGCGUGGAUCAUUCAUGGAACGACAAGAGGUGGUCGGUAUCUUCCAUGGUAAGCGGGUUAUUCUCAGGUCAAGUGUUUAUUCACUCGCCAUCGCACGAGAAUAGGGCGGUAAUAGGGAUUCCCAGUCCCGAACUAAAAAUGCAAAUAAUUAAACAAAACUCCCCCGGGACUGUUGUUGGUUUGGACGGCCCCCGUUGUUUCGGACAAGCCGUGGAAUGUGAUUGUUGGUGGAGGGGGAGUGAACCUUUACUUGUAUCGCUUAGGAACCGCCACUAGCGUGGUUAGCAUGGAAGAUAUUGAUAACUGAUGGUCGUGAAGUAAAUGAGAAGGGUGCAUGUCUCAGAAUAUCAUUUAUCUCUGUUUUAAAAACUUGAGCUCUGGCACCUCUGCAAAUCACUGCUUCCCUCUGCGCAGGGACUAUCUAUUUACUUUUAUGUUGUGCCAUCACCCUCUAAAACAAGCGCUAGAACCUGAGAGCACAGCUGUCAUGACUUAUGCAUUGUGUGUAGCUAAUGUUGGGUGCAUCAUGACUGGAUCUUUUCUACCAUGAAUUACAAUGUUUAGUCGCUGCUUGAACUUUGGAGGUGCUCUGCAUUUAUGUUUUGCGGUCUCAGAAAGGGCUAGCGAGAUACCACUAUUGUCAUAUUAUAUCAUGGUUGUUUUGACAACGUGUUGCUGUUUGAGAUAUCUUAUUAUUGCUCGCUAGCUGAUUAUGUCAUUGAUAUGAGUUAAUAUAAUUUAUAAGAGUUAUUGUCGGCAUGGUUAGUUAUAAUAUUGGCUGAAAACCUAGGUGCUGUUUUAGCUUAUUUAUGCAAACAAGAGCAAAAGAGUUCGUAGAAGUUUUUCUUUUUCACUUUCAGUUUAUCAACUGAAUUGCGUGAGGACAAGCAAAGGUUUAAGCUUGGGGGAGUUGAUACGUCUCCAACGUAUCUACUCUUCCUAACGAUUUUCCUCUUGUUUUGGACUCUAAUUUGCAUGAUUUGAAUGAAACUAACCCCGGACUGACGUUGUUUUCAGCAGAACUACCACGGUGUUGUUUUUGUGCAAAAAUAAAAGUUCUCAGAAUGGAACGAAACUUCGCAAGGAAUUUUUAUAUAAUAAAUAAGAAUUUCUGGAGCCAAGACCUGCUGGAGAGGGGCACCUGGGUGGGCACAACCCACCAGGGCGCGCCCCCCUCUCCUGGCGCGCCCAGGUGGGUUGUCCCCACCUGGUGGCCCCGCAAACCCUAAAACCGACGCUAUAAAAUCCUAUUUUUCCAGAAAAAAGCAAGGAGAAAGAAUCAUCGCGAUCCACGAGACGGAGCCGCCGUCACCUCCUGUUCUUCAUCUGGAGGCCAGAUCUGGAGUCCGUUUGGGCCUCCGGAGAGGGGGGUCUUCGUUCUUCAUCAUCACCAACCCUUCUCCAUCGCCAAUUCCAUGAUGCUCCCCACCGGGAGUGAGUAAUUCCUUCAUAGGCUCGCUGGUCGGUGAGGAGUUGGAUGAGAUUCAUCAUGUAAUCGAGUUAGUUUUGUUAGGUCUUGAUCCCUAGUACCCACUAUGUUCACAGAUUGAUGUUGCUAUGACUUUGUUAUGCUUAAUGCUUGUCACUUUGGGCCCGGGUGCCAUGAACUCAUAUCUGAACCGUUUAUGCUAUCAUAAUUAUAUCCAUGUUUUAGAUCCAAUCUUGCAAGUUAUAGUCACCUGCUACAUGUUAUGAUCCGGCAACCCCGGAGUGACAAUAGCAGGGACCACUCCCGGUGAUGACCGUAGUUUGAGGAGUUCAUGUAUUCACUAUGUGUUAAUGCUUUGUUCCGGUUCUCUAUUAAAAGGAGGCCUUAAUAUCCCUUGGUUUCCAAUAUGAACCUCGCUGCCACGGGAGGGUAAGACAAAAGAUGUCAUGCAAGUUCUUUCCAUAAGCACGUAUGACUAUUUAUGGAAUACAUGCCUACAUUAUAUCGAUGAACUGGAGCUAGUGUCGUAUCGCCCUAGGUUAUAAUUGUCUUGUGAUGAAUAUCAUCCAACAAGUCACCGAUCCAAUGCCUACGAAUUUAUCCUAUAUUGUUUCUGCUAAGUUACUACUGCUAUCAUCAUUGUUACACUUGCUACAAAAUUACUGCUAUCACUGUUACCGGUACCGUUGCUACUGUCACUACUAUCAAAACUAUCAUAUUACUUUGCUACUGAUUACUUGCUGCAGAUAAUUAAUCUCCAGGUGUGGUUGAAUUGACAACUCAGCUGCAAAUACCUUCAAAUAUUCUUUGGCUCCCCUUGUGUCGAAUCUAUAAUUUGGGUUGAAUACUCUACCCUCAAAAACUGUUGCGAUCCCCUAUACUUGUGGGUUAUUAAAGGUGUACAAAAUUGUUUCCUUUGGGUAUCCUAUGAAGACGCACUUCUCCGAUUUGGGUUCGAGCUUAUCAGGCUAAAGCCUUUUGACAUAAGUGUUACAACCCUAAACUUUAAGAAACGACAUCUUAGGUUUCUUGCCAAACCACAGUUCAUACGGUGCCGUCUCAAUGGAUUUAGACGGUGACCUAUUUAACAUGAAUGCGGGUGUCUCUAAUGCAUAACCCCAAACCGAUAGUGGUAAAUCGGUAAGAGACAUCAUAGAUCGCACCAUAUCUAAUAAAGUACGCUUACGACGUUCGGACACACCAUUACGCUGUGGUGUUCCAGGUGGCGUGAGUUGUGAAACUAUUCCACAUUGUUUUAAAUGAAGGCCAAACUCAUAACCCAAAUAUUCGCUUCCACAAUCAGAUCGUAGAAACUUUAUUUUCUUGUUACGAUGAUUCUCCACUUCAUUCUGAAAUUCUUUGAACUUUUCAAAUGUUUCAGACUUGUGUUUUAUUAAGUAGAUAUACCCAUAUCUGCUCAAAUCAUUUGUAAAGGUCAGAAAAUAACGAUACCCAUCACGUGCCUCAAUACUCAUCGGACCGCAUACAUCGGUAUGUAUUAUUUCUAGUAAGUCAUUUGCUCGCUCCAUUGUUCCGGAGAACGGAGUUUUAGUCAUCUUGCCCAUGAGGCAUGGUUCGCAAGUAUCAAAUGAUUCAUAAUCAAGUGAUUCCAAAAUCACAUCUGCAUGGAGUUUCUUCAUGCGCUUUACACCAAUAUGACCUCAACGGUAGUGCCACAAGUAUGUGCACUAUCAUUAUUAACUUUGCAUCUUUUGGCAUCAAUAUUAUGAAUAUGUGUAUCACUAUGAUCGAGAUUCAAUAAACCAUUCACAUUGGUUGUAAGACCAUAGAAGGUUUUAUACAUGUAAACAGAACAACAAUUAUUCUCUGACUUAAAUGAAUAACUGCAUUGCAAUAAACAUGAUCCAAUCAUAUUCAUGCUCAACGCAAACACCAAAUAACAUUUAUUUAGGUUUCAACACUAAUCCCGAAGGUAGAGGGAGUGGCGAUGGUGAUCUUAUCAACCUUGGAAUCACUUCCAACACACAUCGUCACCUGGCCCUUAACUAGUCUUUGUUCAUUCUGCAACUCCUGUUUUGAGUUACUAAUCUUAGCAAUUGAACCGGUAUCAAACACCCAGGGGCUACUAUGAACACUAGUAAAGUACACAUCAAUAACAGGUAUAUCAAAUAUACCUUUGUUCACUUUGCCAUCCUUCUUAUCUGCCAAGUAUUCGGGGCAGUUCCGCUUCCAAUGACCAGUCCCUUUGCAGUAGAAGCACUCAGUCUUAGGCUUGGGUCUAGCUUUGGGCUUCUUCCCUAGAGUGUCAACUUGCUUGCCAUUCUUCUUGAAGUUCCCUCUCUUUCCCUUGCCCUUUUUCAUGAAACUAGAGGUCUUGGUAACCAUCAACACUUGAUGCUCUUUCUUGAUUUCUACCAUCGCCGAUUUCAGCGUUGCGAAGAGCUCGGGAAUCAUUUUCGUCAUCCCUUGCAUAUUAUAGUUCAUCAUGAAGUUCUAGUAGCUUGGUGAUAGUGACUAGAGAACUUUGUCAAUCACUAUCUUAUCUGGAAGAUUAACUCCCACUUGAGUCAAGCGAUUGUAGUACCCACGGAUUCUGAGCACAUGCUCACUGGUUGAGCUAUUCUCCUCCAUCUUGUAGGCAAAGUACUUGUUAGAGGUCUCAUACCUCUCAACAUGGGCAUGAGUCUGAAAUACCAAUUUCAACUCUUGGAACAUCUGAUAUGCUCCAUGGCAUUCAAAAUGUUUUUUAAGUCCCGGUUCUAAGCCGUAAAGCAUGGCCCACUAAACUAUCAAGUAGUCAUCAUACCGAGCUUGUCAAACGUUCAUAAUGUCCACAUCUGCUCCUGCAAUAGGUCUGUCACCUAGCGGUGCAUCAAGGACAUAAUUCUUCUGUGCAGCAAUGAGGAUAAUCCUUAGAUCACAGGCCCAGUCCGUAUCAUUGCUACUAUCAUCUUUCAAAUUUACUCUAGGAACAUAUCAAAAAAUAUAGGAGCUAUAUCGCGAGCUAUUGAUCUACAACAUAGAUAUGAAAAUACUAUCAGGACUAAGUUCAUGAUAAAUUAAGUUCAAUUAAUCAAAUUACUUAAGAGCUCCCACUUAGAUAGACAUCCCUCAAGUCAUCUAAAUGAUACGUGAUCCAAAUCAACUAAACUAUGUCCGAUCAUCACGUGAGAUGGAAUAGUCAUCAAUGGUGAACAUCUCUAUGUUGAUCAUAUCUACUAUAUGAUUCACGUUCGACCUUUCGGUCUCCAGUGUUCCGAUGCCAUGUCUAUACAUGCCAGGUGUCGUGGGAACUAGUCUGACAGUAAGAAUAGGGGGUACAUAGGAGGAGGCAAGAUCCUAGCUACGGUGAGCUUGUGCACGCAAGGUUUACGAGUUCAGGCCCUUCUCGGAGGAAGUAACAGCCCUACGUCUCGGUGCCCGGAGGCUUGGUCGACUGGAUUAUGCGUGAGAGUUGCAGGGGUGCGAACCCUUGUACCAGAGGAGGGGGGUGGCUUAUAUAGAGUGCGCCAGGACCCCAGCCAUCCCACGUUACACAGGGUUCAAUAUUCAUUAAGACAGGGCGUUACUAGUAACGCUAGCUAUAAAGAGCUAUAAACGAUCUUUAAGACUACAUAGUGAAUGCCUGACCGUUGCCAUCCUGAGUGGCUUUAGGCUUUCUGUCUUCGAGUGAUUCUUCGUGUAGUCGAGUGACUCUUAUCUUGGUCGAAUCGAAUUGGGGUAUCCGAGUGAAAUAGCUGGUCGAGUGGAUAGUACUCCAAGGUGAUUUCAGUCAGUAGAUUCUGCUGUACUUUGAAUGUCUUUGACUCUAGGGCGGUGUCCUUGCAUAGGGCGUCUAGGUCAGGCCCAUGACCCUACCCUAGGUACAUGUCAUCGUCACCAGGAUCGUCAAGUUUAACCCGAGUAUUCCGCAUGUGCAAAACUGUCUUGCACCUGUUGUAUGUGAACGUAGAGUCUAUCACACCCGAUCAUCACGUGGUGUCUCAACACGACGAACUAUCACAAUGGUGCAUACUCAGGGAGAACACUUAUACCUUGAAAUUUAGUUAAGGGAUCAUCUCAUAAUGCUACCACCGUACUAAGCAAAAUAAGAUGCAUAAAAGAUAAACAUCACAUGCAAUCAAAAUAUGUGACAUGAUAUGGCCAUCACCAUCUUGUGCUUUUGAUCUCCAUCUCCAAAGCAUCGUUAUGAUCUCCAUCGUCACCGGCUCGACACCCUGAUCUCCAUCGUAGCGUCGUAGUCUUCUCGCCAACUAUUGCUUCUACAACUAUUGCUAACACAUAGUGAUAAAUUAAAGUAAUUGCAUGGCGUUUGCAUUUCAUACAAUAAAGAGACAACCACAAGGCUCCUGCCGGCUGCCGAUAACUUUUACAAAACAUGAUCAUCUCAUACAAUAACGUAUAUCACAUCAUGUCUUGACCAUAUCACAUCACAACAUGCCCUGCAAAAACAAGUUAGACGUCCUCUACUUUGUUGUUGCAAGUUUUACGUGCCUGCUACGGGCUUCUAGCAAGAACCGUUCUUACUUACGCAUCAAAACCACAACGAUGAUUUAUCAAGCUUGCUGUUUUAGCCUUCAACAAGGACCGGCCGCAGUCAAAUUCAAUUCAACUAAAGUAGGAGAAAUAGACACCCGCCAGCCACCUUUAUGCAAAACUAGUUGCAUGUCUGUCAGUGGAACCGGUCUCAUGAACGUGGUCAUGUAAGGUUGGUCCCGGCCGCUUCAUCCAACAAUACCUCCAAAUAAAAAUAAGACAUUGGUGGUAAGCAGUAUGAUGAUCACCGCCCACAACUCUUUGUGUUCUACUCGUGCAUAUCAUCUACGCAUAGACCUGGCUCAAAUGCCACUGUUGGAAAACGUAGCAUGCAAUUUCAAAAAAAUCCUACGCUCACGCAAGAUCUAUCUAGGAAAUGCAUAGCAACGAGGGGGAGAGUGUGUCUACAUACCCUUGUAGACCGAAAGCGAAAGCGUUUGACAACGCGGUUGAUGUAGUCAAACUUCUUCUAGCUCCGACCGAUCAAGCACCGAACGUACGACACCUCCGAGUUCUGCACACGUUCAGCGCGAUGACGUUCCUCGCCUUCUUGAUCCAGCAAGGUUUCGAGGAAGUAGAUGAGUUCCUUCAACACGACGGCGUGGUGACAAUGAUGGUGAAGUGAUCUGUGCAGGGCUUCGCCUAAGCACCACGAGAAUAUGACCGGGGGUGUAAACUGUGGAGGGGGGCGCCGCACACGGCUAACAAUUGAUGUUGUGUGUUCUAGGCGCCCCCUCCCCAUAUAUAUAGGUGGGAGGGAGAUGGGAGAGGCCAAGGGGCACCCCAAGUGGGGCUGAAUCCCACAUGNNNNNNNNNNNNNNNNNNNNNNNNNNNNNNNNNNNNNNNNNNNNNNNNNNNNNNNNNNNNNNNNNNNNNNNNNNNNNNNNNNNNNNNNNNNNNNNNNNNNNNNNNNNNNNNNNNNNNNNNNNNNNNNNNNNNNNNNNNNNNNNNNNNNNNNNNNNNNNNNNNNNNNNNNNNNNNGUAUAGGCGCCAAGGGAAGGAAGGGGGAGGUGCGCCCCCUUUCCUUUCUCCCUUGAGGAGGGGAAGGAAGGAGGGACUUGCCCUCCCCCUUUCCUUUCCCUAGGGCUGGCCGGCCUGGUGGAGGGGCGCACCAGCCCCUUGUGGGCUGGUCUAUCCCUCCCUUGGCCCAUUAAGCCCGUAUCUUUGCCGGGGGUGCCCGGAACCCCUUUCGGUGACCCUAUAUGUACACGGUACCCUCCGGAACACUUUCGGUGUCCAAAUACCAUAGUCCUAUAUAUCAAUAUUCACCUCUCGACCAUUUAGAGACUCCUCGUCAUGUCCGUGAUCUCAUCCGGGACUCCGAACAACAUUCGGUCACCAAAUCACAUAACUCAUAUAAUAUUAAAUUGUCAUCAAAUGUUAAGCGUGCGGACCCUACGGGUUCGAGAACUAUGUAGACUUGACCGAGACACCUCUUCGGUCAAUAACCAAUAGCGGAACCUGGAUGCUCAUAUUGGCUCCUACAUAUUCUACGAAGAUCUUUAUCGGUCGAACCGUUAUGACAACAUACGUUAUUCCCUUUGUCCAUCGGUAUGUUACUUGCCCGAGAUUCGAUCGUCGGUAUCCACAUACCUAGUUCAAUCUCGUUACCGGCAAGUCUCUUUACUCAUUCUGUAAUACAUCAUCUUGUAACUAACUCAUUAGUCACUUUGCUUGCAAGGCUUCUUAUGAUGUGCAUUACCGAGAGGGCCCAGAGACACCUCUCCGAUACUCGGAGUGAAAAAUCCUAAUCUCGAUCUAUGCCAACCCAACAAACACCUUCGGAGAUACCUAUAGAGCAUCUUUAUAAUCACCCAGUUACGUUGUGACGUUUGAUAGCACACAAGGUAUUCCUCCGGUAUCCGGAAGUUGCAUAAUCUUAUAGUCGAAGGAAUAUGUAUUUGACAUGAAGAAAGCAAUAGCAGUAAAACUGAACGAUCAAUAUGCUAAUCUAACGGAUGGGUCUUGUCCAUCACAUCAUUCUCCUAAUGAUGUCCCAUUCAUCAAAUGACAACACAUGUCUGGUUAGGAAACUUAACCAUCUUUGAUUAGCAAGCUAGUCUAGUAGAGGCUUACUAGGGACACAGUGUUUUGUCUAUGUAUCCACACAUGUAUCAAGUUUUCGGUUAAUACAAUUCUAGCAUGAAUAAUAAACAUUUACCAUGAUAUAAGGAAAUAUAAAAUAACAACUUUAUUGUAACAUCCCAAAUUUUCAAUUUGGAAUGUUAUACAUUAGGUCAUCAUUGCAUAUCAUAUUUUAUUGCAUUUUUGCUUGAUCCUAGAAAUUCUACGCAACUCAAGGACCCACGGAGAGAGUUGGGGAUUUCGUUAUUUUCAUAUUUGAGUUUUCUCGAAUUUUGAAAAAAGGAUCGUUUGAUUUUAGUUAUUUUCUCUUCGAAUAUUUCUUUUAUGAAAAUAAAAGAGAGAGGAUAAAAUGACUUCCUCAAAAUAAAGAAAUACUGGAGAUUUAAUAUUCAAAUCAAAUAAGAAUUUUAUUCGGAGUUUUAUCACUAUUUUAUUUGAAUUAGGAAAAAUAUGCGGGUUUUUUCAAAAUUGCACUAGAGUCCCAAAUAAAUGUUCACCUUGUCCGGUAGAUUUCUAGAGGACGGCAAAAAUUUAUUUCAGGAUUUUUGGAGUCUGUUUAGUAUUUCUUUUAUUUAUUUUUCUGCGCGGAACUUUUUUAAAAAAAAAGUCAACCGACAUACGGGCCGUGCCCGAGCCGGAUUCCUUCGGCCGGGGGCUUUAUAAGCCGCAGCCCGAGCCGCCCCGAGGCCCAAGCCGCCGCCGCCAGCCCACCCCGCUGAAACCCUAGCCCCGCCACCCGCCAGCCCGCCACCGCUGCUGCCGCUGCCGCCGCUCCCCGACGCCGCCGCCGCGCGCUGCUGCUGCCGCUCGCCGCCNNNNNNNNNNNNNNNNNNNNNNNNNNNNNNNNNNNNNNNNNNNNNNNNNNNNNNNNNNNNNNNNNNNNNNNNNNNNNNNNNNNNNNNNNNNNNNNNNNNNNNNNNNNNNNNNNNNNNNNNNNNNNNNNNNNNNNNNNNNNNNNNNNNNNNNNNNNNNNNNNNNNNNNNNNNNNNNNNNNNNNNNNNNNNNNNNNNNNNNNNNNNNNNNNNNNNNNNNNNNNNNNNNNNNNNNNNNNNNNNNNNNNNNNNNNNNNNNNNNNNNNNNNNNNNNNNNNNNNNNNNNNNNNNNNNNNNNNNNNNNNNNNNNNNNNNNNNNNNNNNNNNNNNNNNNNNNNNNNNNNNNNNNNNNNNNNNNNNNNNNNNNNNNNNNNNNNNNNNNNNNNNNNNNNNNNNNNNNNNNNNNNNNNNNNNNNNNNNNNNNNNNNNNNNNNNNNNNNNNNNNNNNNNNNNNNNNNNNNNNNNNNNNNNNNNNNNNNNNNNNNNNNNNNNNNNNNNNNNNNNNNNNNNNNNNNNNNNNNNNNNNNNNNNNNNNNNNNNNNNNNNNNNNNNNNNNNNNNNNNNNNNNNNNNNNNCGCCCCGCCGGAGCCACCCGACCCCGCCGGAGGUAGCCGCCGCUGCCGUCGGUUUUCGCAAGAAAACCGACCGGUGUUUUUAUUUUUUUAGAUCGGUUUUUUUCGGUUUAGUUAUUUAGCAGACGCCCGUUCGUACGUUCGUUUUAACGAACGGUUUUCACCGUUUAACCGCAGACACCGAACGUUCGUUAGUCUGUUCGUCACUUUUUCUUUUUCUCAUAUUUUCGCGAUUAUUUUCGAUCGUGAUUUCUGAUCCGAUUUUUGUUUUAGUUUAUAUUUUCGCUCGUUUAUCGAAAUCAGGCGAUUCAAGCGCCUAGAGUUUCGUCUCGAAGCCCUCUUUCUGUUUAAUCAACUUAAACAAGUUUUUGCCACUGUAAAUUUGACUUUAGUCCAGAUUAGUAAUCGAAGCUUGUUUCUUUCGCAGUUUGAGUUUCGUUGCUUCGUUUGAUUUGAUUCUUUUUGCAAACCGUAGUUCUUAAGUUGAACUUUCUGGUUAGAUCUUCUUAUUUGAGUUUUACCCGUGCAUCUUUGCUUGAUUGCUUAUUGUAUUCUUGUUUGUUUGCGAUAGAGUACCCGGAGUGCGAAGCGUGCUACUACGAGUCUCUAGGUUUCACGGAUCAUCAACAAGGCAAGUAACACUUUGAUCAUACCUCUUUACUACCCAGUUUUAUUGCAUUAGAUCAAUCCUCAAACAAUUGCAUGCUUAGGAUCUGAUUAAAUUGUGGGUUUGGGAAGUAGAUGAGGUAGUACCUAUUCACUUGUUUAUUAUCAAACCUAUGGGAGUUACUUCUACGUUGCUUAUAUUGCUAUGCUAUGCUCGUAGACGUGGUUUGGGUUUGAGUGUAUUCAUGACAGAUGUGAGUAUUGUUCAUUAAUGGUUAACUUAAGGUGGCAACUUUAAUACACAUCUGGGUGGAUUGAGGCACCUGGGGAACCCAGUGUUGUCUGUAUUUUUGGAAAUCCCGGGGUACCGUGUGAUUCUCCUAUGGACUGCCACCCAGGCUCAAAGGGAUCAUAAGGUUAUUCAUGCUAGAAGCUUCCGUGUGCAGCCACAUGCCAUUAUGGGCUCUGGCAUAGUUGAGUAAGUUGUGGGAAACCUUUCCAUGAUGGGCUAGCAGAUGUAGGGGAUUGUAGGUGUACAGGCCUAUCUAUCGGUUAAGGGGGCCUCUUCGGAAAGACUGUGUCUCGGUCAUCCGUUUCUCAAACAUUAUGUAGUGCGAGAAAUCCAACGGAGGAGAUCGAGUCUUGUGGGGAAAAGUGCGCAAACCUCUGCAGAGUGUACAAACUAAUCAUGGUUAGCCGUGUCCCCGGUUAUGGACAUCUUGAGUAUCUAGUUCUUGGAUUAUCAUGUGGAUCUUAUCACUCUUAAUAUAAUUUUGAUUGGGUUUAAUGAUGAUGCUUAAUUGGGAUUGAGUUGGGUGAACCUUCUCAAUGUUUAGCAACCACCAUGAUAGUUAAAUAAAAUUUAUUCCAUUUGUUGUAGGGAAAAAUUGGCAUUCCGCAAAACAUAUUAACCAUACAGCCUCCACCAGCCAUAUAUGCAUGUAGUGAUAGUUUUAUUCUGUUCAUUACUCUUUUGUGUUGCCUUGCCAGCAUAUUCCAUGUGCUGACCCGUUUCGGGCUGCAACGUAUCAUGUUGCAGACUUUUCAGACGACGAGUAAGGAGCCAUAGGUCGUUGUCUUUCACUCAGUGAUGUCGUUGGAGUUGAUGGACUCACUUUAUCUUCCAAGCCUUCCGCUAUUAUCGUAUUAGAUGGCCUUAAGCCAUAUUUAUUGUAAUAAGUUUUUUUGAGACAUUUGAUGUAAUAAGUGUGUGAUUUCUACUCUGUUAUAAAUCCUCAAGUACUGUACGUGUCAGCAUUACCAAUUCAGGGAUGACACUGAUGCAUAGAGAUCAGACUAUUUGAGGUCUGUUCGCUACAAGAUGGUAUCAGAGCACACGCUGACUGUAGGACACGACCACUAAGCUAAAGCCCUAGAUCACUACUCUCUUCUCAUUUCUGACUCCUCUCCAUUUUUCUACUCUUUAGGAUGGCGGACGCAAGGAACAAGUUUGCACAACCGGAUGAAGACACCCCCUUUGGAGGACACUUGAAGGAAGUCACUAGAUACCUGAACAUUGGAAUACCAAGCUUCACCGGGACUUACAACGCCACUUUACCAGAAGAGGAGCGCUGGAUGAUUCAAGUUCAAGUUCCAGGAAGGACAUUCACGCCAGUCACUGAGCCCAUAGAGUUUUCCUUUGAUGCACCAACCUGGAGUCUAGGAAAGAGUAUGGCAGCCCACAUCACCAUGGGACGCAUUGGAGAAGUUUACCACAAGGAUCUCAAGGAUACUAUCUACCAGAUUUGUGGGCGCCGAGAUGAGCAAUGGGAGAUGAUCAGCACCAGGAAGGAUAGAUUGAUUGCAGCUUUCAUCCAGGAGUUAAACCAGCACAUUCGACGCCAGGAGAACCAGAUGUGCGCAGGCAUGACAGAUUUGAAGAAGGCGAUGACAAGGAUCACGGAGCUGGAGGAAGAACUCAAGGCUACUCGCGAAGAUUAUGCGGAGGAAAUCAUCGUACUAGUGGAGAAGAAUGACGACCUGACAAGGAAGCUGGGAGUAUUCAUGGGAGACCCCGCGCCAGGAGGAGAAGAUGACGGUUCCACUUGCCCGAAGAACUACAUCAUCAUCGACGACACCGACUCGGACCCCGAUGAUAGCGAUGAUGACUAUGUUGAUGAAGCUGGAGCGGAUAUCAUGGAGUCUUCGACCGAACAAUUUUUCUAGUCGACCACCAUAUCAGUAGUAGUAUUCCACCAUGUAUAUAGUAUAGUCCGAGCACUUUUGUAACGAUAGUUCUAGACCGAUUGUAUGCCCUUGCUUGAUUGAUUGAGUGAUAUGUUUGUGUUUGUCUCAUGUGCAUAUGGGUAGUGUUUUCCCCCUAGACCUCAUUCUACUCUAUUUUCUCAUCUUUUCUAAACCCAGCAGAUGCCUCCGAGACGCGACAAUGGAUUUUCUUUCCCACUAGAGCUCACUCAGUUGAUCCAGCAGCAGAAUGCAUUGAUGCAGAUACUAGUCCAGAAUCAGAAUCAGGGGAACAACAACAACAACAACAACCCACCACCACCACCACCUGUUGAUCACUUAGCCCGUUUUCUAAGGCUGAAUCCGUCGGUGUUCUCCAGUAGCACCGAGGCGAUAGUUGCAGAUGAUUGGAUCCGCAAGAUUGAAAGGGAGUUGACCACUGCAGGAUGCACAGAUGCGGAGAGAGUGUGUUUUGCCGAACAUCAGCUUGAUGGACCCGCGGCAUCAUGGUGGGAGAAUUUCACAGUCACUUACCCCAUCGACACUGUUACAUGGGACCAGUUCCAGCAGGCUUUUCGCACUGCCCAUGUAUCAACAGGAGCUAUGGCCAUGAAGAAGCGUGUGUUCCGCAACUUACGCCAAGGAGGACGCACAGUUGGCGAGUAUGUGGAUGACUUUAGUAAGCUAGCACGUUAUGCCCCAGAUGACGUCGCUACAGAUGCAGCUAAGCAGGAGAACUUUCUGCAAGGACUGAAUGAUGAGCUGAACAUGCACUUGAUGGUGGCAAAUUUUAAUAACUACCAGGAGUUGGUAGAUAGAGCUCUCAUGAUUGAAGGGAAGCAGCAGCAGAUUGACAACCGCAAGAGGAAGUAUGGACAAGGGAAGUAUAAUUCUGGAGCUCAGCAAAGACCCCGUUUUACCCCGAACUCGGGAGGACCCCUUCAGCAUAACCAUGGAGGUCACAAUCACACUGGAGGAAGUUCGCACAACCAUGGUGGCUCCAAGAACGGGAGUGGUAAUGGAGGAAGCAACGAAUAGAACCGUUCCAACCCGGCAACGCCCGCCAAGAAAGAUCUAAGCCACGUUACUUGCUACAAGUGCCAGAAGACUGGACAUUACGCCAAUGAAUAUCCUGAAGCUAAGAAUGGAAACGGCAAUGGAAGCUCUGGGAAGAAGCCCAACCCUUUCAACAGGGGACAAGUGAACCACGUUAACGUGGAGGAGGUUGAAGCCCAGCCAGAUGUAGUAAUAGGUAAGUUUUUGGUUAAGUCAUUUACUGCAGUUGUUCUUUUUGAUACUGGUGCAUCGCAUUCAUACAUAUCAAGGGGAUUUGUGGAUAAGUAUAAACUGCCCACCAAAGUUCUUAGUACACCUUUGUUAGUGAGCUCGCCAGGAGCAGAAUAUAUGGCAAACCAAGGAUGUUUUCAGAUGCCAUUGACCAUAGGUAGGCAUGUUUUCCCCUCAGAUCAGAUAAUUUUGGAGUCACAAGGUUUGGGUGUAAUUCUAGGUAUGGAUUGGCUAUCGAUGUAUGGAGGAAACAUCGAUUGCGCCAGUAAGUCGAUUUUGCUCACCACCCCAGAAGGAAGAAGGAUCAAGUAUGUAUCCCGGCAUGUGCCGAAUAGGACUCAAGUAAAUUCCUUAUCAGGAGUUGUAUAGGAGGAAGUACCAGUGGUGAAGGAUUUCCCGGAUGUAAUUCCAGAAGAGUUGCCAGGCAUGCCACCGGAUAGAGACAUUGAGUUUUUGAUUGAGCUUUUGCCAGGCAUAGGGCCAAUAUCUAAGAGACCGUACAGAAUGCCCGCAAAGGAUUUGGAGGAAAUUAAGAAGCAGAUUAAGGAGUUACUGGAUAAAGGUUAUAUUCGCCCAAGUUCGUCACCUUGGGGAUCACCAGUGCUUCUAGUGGAGAAGAAGGAUGGAUCGUUAAGGAUGGUUGUUGACUAUCGAGGAUUGAAUGAGGUGACGAUCAAGAACAAGUACCCACUGCUGAUGAUCAAUGAUUUGUUUGAUCAGCUGCAAGGAGCUAAAGUGUUUUCCAAGACCGAUCUGCGAUCAGGGUACCACCAGCUGAAGAUUCGAGAGCAGGAUAUACCUAAGACAGCUUUUACCACGAGGUACGGGCUAUAUGAGUAUACCGUUAUGUCAUUUGGCCUGACUAACGCACCUGCCUAUUUUAUGAACAUGAUGAACAAGGUGUUUAUGGAGUUUUUGGAUAAGUUCGUUGUGGUGUUCAUUGAUGGUAUUCUAGUCUACUCGAAGAAUGAAGAGGAUCAUAAAGAGCAUUUGCGUUUAGUACUUGGGAAGCUCAGAGAACAUCAGCUAUACGCCAAGUUCAGCAAGUGUGAGUUUUGGUUGAAGGAAGUUGGAUUCCUUGGACAUGAUAUAUCCGGAGAAGGAAUAGCGGUAGACCCCACCAAAGUUGUCACUGUGACAAAUUGGGAGGCACCCACGUCAGUUGGAGAGAUCCGGAGUUUUCUUGGACUCGUAGGAUACUACCGGAGGUUCAUUGAGAAUUUCUCGAAGAUCGCAAAGCCUAUGACGGAGUUGUUAAAGAAGGACACCAAGUUCAAAUGGACUGAGAAAUGUGAGGCCAGUUUUCAGGAGUUGAAGAAACGCUUGGUGUGACGCCCCUGAUUUGACCGUACACUAAUCAUGCACGCAAAUGUGUACGAUCAAGAUCAGGGACUCACGGGAAGAUAUCACAACACAACUCUAAAACAUAAAUAAGUCAUACAAGCAUCAUAAUACAAGCCAGGGGCCUCGAGGGCUCGAAUACAAGUGCUCGAUCACAGACGAGUCAGCGGAAGCAACAAUAUCUGAGUACAGACAUAAGUUAAACAAGUUUGCCUUAAGAAGGCUAGCACAAACUGGGAUACAGAUCGAACGAGGCGCAGGCCUCCUGCCUGGGAUCCUCCUAACUACUCCUAGUCGUUGUCAGCGGCCUGCACGUAGUAGUAGGCACCUCCAGUGUCGUAGGUGUCGUCGUCGACGGUGGCGUCUGGCUCCUGGACUCCAACAUCUGGUUGCGACAACCAGAUAGAAAGGAAAGGGGGAAAAGAGGGAGAGAAGCAACCGUGAGUACUCAUCCAAAGUACUCGCAAGCAAGGAGCUAUACUACAUAUGCAUGGGUAUAUGUGUAAAGGGGCAUAUCAGUGGACUGAACUGCAGAAUGCCGGAAUAAAAGGGGGAUAGCUAGUCCUAUCGAAGACUACGCUUCUGGCCAUCUCCAUCUUGCAGCAUGUAGAAGAGAGUAGAUUGAAGUCCUCCAAGUAGCAUCGCAUAGCAUAAUCCUACCCGGCGAUCCCCUCCUCGUCGCCCUGUUAGAGAGCGAUCACCGGGUUGUAUCUGGCACUUGGAAGGGUGUAUUUUAUUCAGUAUCCAGUUCUAGUUGUCAUGAGGUCAAGGUACAACUCCGGGUCGUCCUUUUACCGAGGGACACGGCUAUUCGAAUAGAUAAACUUCCCUGCAGGGGUGCACCACAUAACCCAACACGCUCCAUCCCAUUUGGCCGGACACACUUUUCUGGGUCAUGCCCGGCCUCGUAAGAUCAACACGUCGCAGCCCCACCUAGGCUCAACAGAGAGGUCAGCACGCCGGUCUAAACCUAUGCGCGCAGGGGUCUGGGCCCAUCGCCCUAUGCACACCUGCAUGUUGCGUACGCGGCCGGAAGCAGACCUAGCCCCCUUAAUACAAGCGCGAGCUUACGGUCCAAUGCGGGGCGCGCCUCUCAGUUGCUGACGUCAAAAGAGCUUCGGCUGAUACUACGACGUCGGGAUACCCAUAACUACUCCCACGUAGAUGGUUAGUGCGUAUAGACCAAAUGGCCAGACUCAGAUCAAAUACCAAGAUCUCGUUAAGCGUGUUAAGUAACCGCGAAUGCCGACCAGGGCCAGGCCCACCUCUCACCUAGGCGGUCAACCUGCCCUGUCGCUCCGCCACAAAGAUCCACUCGCGGGUACUCCUACGAGCCGACCCGACUUUAGUCAUCACAUGUGUCAUGUAUAUAGUAUAUAAGUAUAUACCCGUGAUCACCACCCAGGUGAUCACGGCCCGAUAGUAUAGCACAGCAGACGGACAAGAAUGUAGGGCCACUGAUGGAAAACUAGCAUCCUAUACUAAGCAUGUAGGAUUGCAGGUAAAGGUAACAACAGUAGUAGCAAGGAUAGGCUAUGCAUCAGGAUAGGAUAUCGAAAAGUAGUAACAUGCUACACUACUCUAAUGCAAGCAGUAUAGAGAAGAAUAGGCGAUAUCUGGUGAUCAAGGGGGGGCUUGCCUGGUUGCUCUGGCAAGUAGGAGGGGUCGUCGACUCCGUAGUCGAACUGGGCAGCAGCAGUGUCGGUCUCGUAGUCUACCGGAGAGAAGAGGGGGAAGAAACAGUAAAUACAAUGCAAACAUAAGCAUGACGAUGCGUGACAUGACAAUGAGCGGGGCUAGGUGUGUCCUAACGCAACAGUAGGUGGUACCGGCGAAGGGGGGGAACAUCCGGGAAGUAUUCCCGAUGUUUUCGCGUUUUCGGACAGACGGAUCGGAGGGGGAAAGUUGCUAGUUCGAUAGGUUAGGGAGGUGUGGUGGACGAACGGACUGCGUAUUCGGAUUCGUCUCGUCGUUCUGAGCAACUUUCAUGUAGAAAACAUUUUCAUCCGAGUUACGGUUUAAAAGAUAUGAAUUUUCGAAGAUUAUUUGAAUUUCUGGAAUUAUUUGAAUUUAGCAAAAAUGAAUUAUGACGUCAGCAUGAGGUAAUACUGACGUCAGCAGGUCAACAGGUCGGCUGACCAGUCAAACCAGACAGGUGGGUCCUACCUGUCAUAGACAGUGGACUAAUCAGAAGACUAAAUUAACUAAAAUUAGAUUAAUUAACUACUGGACCCCACCUGUCAGUGCCUAAUUAGAUUAAUUAAUUAGUUUUAUUUAUAAAAACAUUUUUUUUUGUUAAUUAUGCGGCAGGGCCCGCAUGUCAGCGGCUGGGGCCUGCCCAGUCAGCAGUUGACUGGGUCAACCCAGUCAACUAGGACCCACGGGGCCCACUGGCAGUGGCACUGGGGUGGCCCCAGGCCAGCCACGUCGGCGGCCGGCGUUUAAACGCCGGCGCACGCUCCGGCGACCACCCGAGACGGCGGCGUUGCGCGGAAACGGCGCACAGGGGGCCAUUUGGCCCGCGGUUUCUUCCUACGGGACGGGCGCGACGCGACGCGUCCGUUGGUGGCCACGAAAAGUACGGGGAUGGCCGGAAACGGCCGCUACCUCGACGUCGGCGGGUGGUGCAUUCGGGCGAAGCUCGGGGUCGGCGCUACGGGGCUCGACGGAGUGCAUGGAUGGGUGCAUCUGGCCCGCACAGACGUGCUGAGCACGAAGCCGGGCUCAGCUGAGCUCGACGGCGAGCAUGGCCGCGACGGUGAAGCGCCGGGCGGCGACCGGAGCUCGGCAACGACGGCAGCUAGCUACGGAGCGCUAGGGGGCCAACGAGGAGUAGCAGGGGGAGGAGAAGCUCACCGUGCGGCACUCACGUAGGCCCUCGACGGAUUAGUAGCUGUAGGUCGGCGCCGGGGAAGAAAGGGAUCGCCGGCGACCGAAGUUGAAGACGAGCUCGGUGUGCUCGUUGUAGGGGCUCCGGUCUCCAACGGGCUGCACCAGUCGAAGCAGCGGGCGACGGCGGUCCUUGGAGACACCGUGGGGCGGCGAGGUGGGCACGGUGGCCGUGGCUAGGCCGGAGGCAUGGCGGCGGUGGCGUUCGGGCGAGGUGGGGAAGGGGAUCGGAGAGGGAGGAGAAGUGGAUCUGGGGGAGGGGAGGCGCAGUGGCGAGCGAGAGGGGCAAGUGGGAGGGAUGGGCGGAGGCCGAGGCGUCGGGGCGGCCUUAUCCUCCCCCGUCGCCGGCGAGGUGGUGCGGCGGGGACCUGCCCCUGUUCCGACUCCGGUCGGGGGAACAGGGAAGGGGAGGGCGACCCGGGGAGGUGGGCUAGGCCGGCUGGGCCUGGGGGCGGCCCAGUUGGGCCAGGGUCCAGUGGGGGGCUUCUCCUUCUCCUUUUUUUUUCUUUGUUUGUUCUGUUUUCUUUUGUAUUUUCUUUUUAUUUAUUUAUUUUCUUUUCUGUUUUAUUUCAAUUUAAUUUAUUUAGGCAUUUUAUAAAAAUAUGUUUUCUUUAGUAUAAUUACCCUUGUAAUAUUUGGCAUGACCCGAACAUUUUUGUUUAAAUUUUUGAAAACUUUUAUUUUCCACUUUAAAUCUAAUUUGAAGUUUGAAUUAGGAGUUUGAAAAGAAAUGUGAUUCCAAUGUGAUCAAGCCCUGUUUAGCAACAUGAUUAGCUUAAUCACAGAGAGUUACUGUAGCAUGAUUCUCGGGGUGUUACAAAUCUCCUCCACUACAAGAAAUCUCGUCCCGAGAUUUAGGAGGUAGAAGGAAACAGUGUGGGGUAUUCUUCGCGCAGACGAUCCUCUCAUUCCCAAGUGGCCUCAUCUUCAGAAUGGUGCGACCACUGGACUUUGAGAAACUUGAUCGCCUUCUGACGUGUGCGGUGUUCAGCUUGGUCGAGAAUGCGGACCGGAUGCUCCUUAUAGGAGAGGUCUUGCUGCAAUUCGAGCACUUCAUGAUCCACAGCUCGGAUUGGGUCCUUGAAGCAACGGCGGAGCUGCGACACAUGGAACACAUCGUGAACCUGAGAAAGGUUCGGCGGUAGCUCCAGUUGGUAUGCCACUUUUCCACGCCUUUCGAGAAUAGUGAAUGGGCCAAUAUAGCGAGGAGCUUCUUUGCCCUUGAUCCCGAAGCGGUGAGCACCCUUCAUAGGUGUGACUCGAAGAUAAGCCUUUUCGCCAGGUUGAUAGACCAUGUCUUUAUGAUGACGGUCAUACUGACUCUUCUGACGUGACUGAGCAGUCUUGAGAUUCUCGUGAAUAAUGCGGACUUGUUCUUCGGCAUCUUGGAUAAUAUCCGGACCGAAGAGUGGACGUUCCCCAGUUUCUGACCAGUUCAGAGGGGUUCGGCACUUUCGUCCAUAUAACACUUCGAAGGGGGCCAUCUUCAGACUAGCUUGAUAGCUAUUAUUAUAAGAGAACUCAGCAUACGGGAGAGAUUCCUCCCAUUUCUUGCCGAAGGAAAUAACACAAGCUCGAAGCAUAUCUUCGAGAACUUGGUUGACGCGUUCAACUUGCCCUUGCGAUUGAGGAUGAAACGCAGUACUGAAUGACAGAUGAGUUCCCAUAGCUUCUUGGAAACUUGCCCAGAAUCAUGAAGUGAAUAAGCUGCCACUGUCUGAGCUGAUAACCAAUGGAAUACCGUGGAGUGAAACAAUCCUGGACAUAUAGAGCGUUGCCAACUGGCUAGCAGUGAUCGUUUCUUUGACUGCCAGAAAAUGUGCAACUUUGGAAAGUCGGUCAAUGACGACAAGAAUAGCAUCAUUACCUUUCUGUGAUUUGGGAAAUCCAGUGAUGAAGUCCAUCUCAACAUGGUCCCAUUUCCAUUCAGGAAUAGAGAUAGGUUGCAGAGUUCCAGCAGGCCUUUGAUGUUCUGCUUUGAUACGACGGCAAACGUCACAUUCAGCGACAUAACGAGCAAUGUCUUGCUUCAUAUUAGACCACCAGAAUCUCUGACGGAUGUCUUGGUACAUCUUUGUACUACCAGGAUGGAUACAUAGAGGCGUAUCAUGAGCUUCUUUCAUAACUUCCUGUGUCAUAUCCAGGUUUUUCUCUGCACAUGGCACCACUAGGCGACCCUUGAAGUAUAAGGUGCCAUCUUCAGCAAUGGUGAAGAAUGAGGGCUUUCCUUCUGCGAGGUAGCGCUUAAUCUUGUGGGCUUCAGAGUCAUACUUCUGUAGCCUUUUGAUGCUGUCCUCGAGAUCUGGUUUAGCAACUAGGGUAUUGAGGGAACCCUGGGUAACAACGUGGAGGUUCACCUUGCCAAACUCCUUAGGAGGGGGAGCGAGUGCACCCGGAGGAACAAUAUGGAGGUUCAGCUUCCUGAAUUCUUCAACAAGCGAGGGCUGAACUUUAUGAACCUGGAGGUGGUUGCAGUAAGACUUGCGGCUCAAGGCAUCAGCCAUUACAUUAGCCUUGCCUGGCGUAUAGGAAAUACCCAAGUCAAAGUCUGCAACAAGCUCCAUCCAUCUUUGUUGACGGAGGUUCAGAUCUGGCUGAGUAAACAGAUACUUCAGACUUUGAUGGUCGGUGAAGAUCUCGCAACGAUUACCGAGAAGGUAAUGUCGCCACUGCUUCAGCGCAUGAAUGACAGCAGCAAGUUCGAGGUCGUGAACUGGGUAGUUCUCUUCGUGAGGGCGCAAUUGCCGAGAGGCAUAAGCAAUCACUUUGCGGUCUUGCAUUAGGACACAGCCUAAUCCUUGACGGGAAGCGUCGCAGUAAAUGACAAAGUCCUUCUUAGUAUCAGGUGGAGCUAGAACUGGAGCAGAAGUCAACUUGUCUUUGAGUGCCUGGAAACUUUCCUAACAUUUGUCUGUCCAUUGGAACUUGACGCCCUUAUGCAACAGGUUAGUCAGAGGCCUGGCGAUCUUGGAGAAGUUCUCGACGAAUCGACGGCAAUAGCUGGCGAGACCGAGAAAACUUCUGACUUGCUUAACGUUCUUGGGAGGAGUCCAAUCAAGAAUAGCCUGAACUCGUUCAGGGUUGACGGCAAUACCAUCCUUAGAGAUGACAUGCCCGAGAUAGGUUACUUCGGGUAGCCAGAAUUCACAUUUGGAGAACUUGGCAUAUAGUUGAUGCUCUCGUAGCUUUUCCAGCACAAGUCGAAGAUGUUCAGCAUGUUCUUCUUCGUUCUUGGAAAAUACCAGGAUAUCAUCCAGAUAAACCACAACGAACUUGUCGAGGUAAUCCAUGAAGAUAUAGUUCAUCAGACGAGAGAAGGUGGCUGGAGCAUUGGUUAAACCGAAAGACAUGACGGUGUACUCGUAUGAACCAUAGCGACCACGAAGGCGGUCUUUGGGAUAUCCUCUUUGCGAACACGGAUCUGGUGGUAGCCCAACCUCAAGUCGAGCUUAGAGAACACUGACGAACCCGCCAGUUGAUCAUACAGAUCAUUGAUCCGAGGAAGGGGGUAUUUAUUCUGAAUGGUAGCUUGGUUUAUAGGACGGUAGUCUUGAACUAACCGGUUUGUCCCAUCCUUCUUCUUGACAAAGAGAGAAGGUGCUCCCCACGGAGAGCAACUUGGCGAAUGAAUCCUUUGCGAAGAGAUUUGUCGAUUUCCUCCUUAAGCUCAAGGAGUUCAUGCGGCGGCAUUUUGUAGGGUCACUUGGCUAUAGGAGUGGUGCCUGGUUUCAAGUCGAUGAUGAAUUCGACAGCUCUAGCAGGGGGAAUCCCCGGAAGUUCUUCAGGGAAGACGUCGAGGAAUUCACGAACGACGGGAAUGUUUUCAAUGCCCUCGAGUGGUGCAGCGUUCAAUGCAUUCAAUGCAUAGAGCCUUGCCUCGGCAUUUUGCACCAGAUGAGCUUGGUAAGCAACUAUUUCAUCUAAAGGGUGUAGCAGAUGGACGGUUUUAGUGGCGCAAACUAUAGAAGCAGUAUGCGCUUUCAACCAAUCCAUACCCAAAAUGAGGUCGAUGUUAGACGACUUCAGGAUAAUGGGAGAGGCAUAGAAUUCCAGCCCUUCGAUUUCCACGGGGACAUCGAUGCCAACCAAGGAGGUUUGACACUGUCCCACGGGGGUUUUGACCAGUACCGAAGUGUUCAUCUCCUCACAUUUAACGUCGUGCUUGUAUGCAAAAUCUUCUGACAUGAAUGAAUGCGAUGCACCUGUAUCAAAUAAAACGGAUGCUGGUACUGAAUUUACGAGGAGUGUACCCAUCACAGUAGCAGGCUGGUCUUGAGCUUCGUUGAGAUCAACGUGGUUGGCAUGAGCACGACCAUAAGACUUAGCAUUGUUGUUGCGGGGCUGAUUGUUACCACGGCCAGUUGCUGGAAGGGCCAGUUGAUUCUGAUUCUGAUUGCAGUCCCUGGCACGGUGACCUGGUUGUCCACACUUGUAGCACAGACCAUUAUUGGGAGUGGGAGCAGGAGCUUGGGAUGGUGGAGCUGGAAGUCUUGACUGCCUAGAUGGUGGUGGAGGCAGACGAGGUGCAGCAUAUGUCUGCCUUGGGGCAGAUGCAUUUGGACGGUACAUGCUGUUCGGGAUCCAUAUCUUACGCUUCUGUGCGGGCGAGCCCGAAGAUGAGCCCGUGUCACGGUUGCGCCUGUGAGAGCUCUGGUAUUCCUGCAGACCAGUUUCGACAUUGAUGGCCUUGUUCACCAAGGUGGCGAAAUCAGCAAAGUCAUGCACUAGAAGUGCGAGCUUGAUGUCAGCUUGAAGGCCAUCACGGAACUUCUCCUGUCUGCGUGCAUCAGUUGCAAUGUCCUCUUCAGCAUAACGAGACAAGUCCAGAAACUCCCGUUGAUAAGCUUCAACAGUUUUGUUGCCUUGGGUGAGGUUGCGGAACUCACGCUUCUUCCGGUCCAUGACUCCUUGAGGAAUGAAGCGGGCACGGAAAGCUGCUUGGAAGUCUGGCCAUGUGAUGAUUGUUCCAGCUGGCAUAGUACGCCUGUGGUUGUCCCACCAUUGAGCUGCGGGUCCCUUCAAGAAGAAGGAAGCAAAGGUGACAUAGCUGGCAGGGGCUACAUCAGCAGACUCCAUCUCAUAGGUGAUGUCACGGAGCCAGUCAUCAGCAUCCAGAGGCUGAGUUGAGCUGCGGUAGAUGGUUGGGUUGAGGCGUAUGAAAUCUUGAAGAGUCACUUGGGUUGGCUGCUGGUUCAUAUUGGGGCGAGGAAACUGGGCCAUCAUAUUUUCCAUGAAUUGGCGGUUCAGUUCGAACUGUUGGAUCAUACCAGCCAUGUACUCAGGUGGUGGUGGGGCAUCGCCACCACGACCACCUGGUCUAACCAUCCUGCUAAUAUAUAACAGGGGUAGUUCAGCAUUGAGAAAUUUGCAAGGACAAGAAUCAUUCAUGAUGAAACAUGCAUAAAGAAAGGAGCACGAUAGCUACUACAUGGUAGUCGGCAUAACUUACAAAGGGGUCAUGCAUAGAGUUCAGUGCACAGAGUUCAGUACAUAGACUAAAACAACAUAGGCGGCACACAGGCUCGCGGCGAAUGCAUCUAACACUACAAGCAAGCCUACAUCAGUCCCAAGAGGUACUGUGGAGGUAAUCGUAGCCCGACAGCUGGUAGUGAGGCAACGGAUAGCCCUCCACGUCAGCAGACUGGGGCCGCGGAUACUCAGGUGUAGAGCCCGACGCUCAGGUGGCAGAAGAGGACCAAGUGCGGGAGAGUAGCCUCCCACCUCUGGCCAACCGACACCGUGGGGCAUCACGGUCCUGGCUGGGUAGAUCGCAGUACGCGGUACCUGUCCAGAUCGGACAAAGGGGUGCAGCAGCGUCAGAGCACGGUAAAGGUGCUGACGGGUGGUGUACAUCUCGUGGCGAAGAGCUCGGUUAGCUCGAUCCAGCCCAUCAGCAUGCAGAACCAGGUUCUGAUGGUAGAAGGGCUCUCGGGUGACAGUGGAGUAGGCAGCAGUAUAGUAUCCCUCCGCACCAACAUCAGAUGCGAUAGCAAUGUGCCUGAAAGGGGAGGUGUCCAACUCCCGAUACUCUCCACGAAGACGUGUCAGAGCAGCAUAGGCAGCAUCGUGGACAGCCAUAUCGAUGGUCACACCAACACCAUGUGCGGUGUGCAGCACAGUAGUGGAGUCAUACUCCCGAGAGUAGAGGUGGACGAUGGCACGGUACUGCUCCUGGUUAAAGUCCUGGUACUCCUCGUAGACGGUGUACUUAGGGUGCCAGCGAUAACCCAGAUAGGUCAUCAUCUCAGCUAGCACAGCAGGUGAUCCUGAGGCACCAAUGGCCGUCGUGUGGCGAACGACCUGCCUCGUUGGUUCCAUCUGAAAGCAAAGACGUUUCAAAGGAGUCAAAUGACAGUGUGUGAAUUGUUCAAAAUACUAUUCUAAGAAACAACUAUGGCUUAUCCAACUUUGGGGUGAAUGCGGUCACGGGAUCCUAGUGUUAGAGUUAGUAAAUUCGUUUAACCCGAGUAGAAGAGAGUUCAGAGUCCCAGAGUAAAGGUCGAGGAGUAAAAGAUCCUAGUACCACCCAAUGGCGACGUGGGCCCGUAAGACACACAGCCAUGUUAGUAAAAGUUUUGUAAUGUCUAGACUCGACUUCGGCCAAGGAGUGUGGAAAGGGGGAUUCCUACAGGCAGCCGGCUCUGAUACCAACUUGUGACGCCCCCGAUUUGACCGUACACUAAUCAUGCACGCAAAUGUGUACGAUCAAGAUCAGGGACUCACGGGAAGAUAUCACAACACAACUCUAAAACAUAAAUAAGUCAUACAAGCAUCAUAAUACAAGCCAGGGGCCUCAAGGGCUCGAAUACAAGUGCUCGAUCACAGACGAGUCAGCGGAAGCAACAAUAUCUGAGUACAGACAUAAGUUAAACAAGUUUGCCUUAAGAAGGCUAGCACAAACUGGGAUAUAGAUCGAACGAGGCGCAGGCCUCCUGCCUGGGAUCCUCCUAACUACUCCUAGUCGUCGUCAGCGGCCUGCACGUAGUAGUAGGCACCUCCAGUGUCGUAGGUGUCGUCAUCGACGGUGGCGUCUGGCUCCUGGACUCCAACAUCUGGUUGCGACAACCAGAUAGAAAGGAAAGGGGGAAAAGAGGGAGAGGAGCAACCGUGAGUACUCAUCCAAAGUACUCGCAAGCAAGGAGCUAUACUACAUAUGCAUGGGUAUAUGUGUAAAGGGGCAUAUCAGUGGACUGAACUGCAGAAUGCCAGAAUAAAAGGGGGAUAGCUAGUCCUAUCGAAGACUACGCUUCUGGCCAUCUCCAUCUUGCAGCAUGUAGAAGAGAGUAGAUUGAAGUCCUCCAAUUAGCAUCGCAUAGCAUAAUCCUACCCAGCGAUCCCCUCCUCGUCGCCCUGUUAGAGAGCGAUCACCGGGUUGUAUCUGGCACUUGGAAGGGUGUAUUUUAUUCAGUAUCCAGUUCUAGUUGUCAUCAGGUCAAGGUACAACUCCGGGUCGUCCUUUUACCGAGGGACACGGCUAUUCGAAUAGAUAAACUUCCCUGCAGGGGUGCACCACAUAACCCAACACGCUCCAUCCCAUUUGGCCGGACACACUUUUCUGGGUCAUGCCCGGCCUCGUAAGAUCAACACGUCGCAGCCCCACCUAGGCUCAACAGAGAGGUCAGCACGCCGGUCUAAACCUAUGCGCGCAGGGGUCUGGGCCCAUCGCCCUAUGCACACCUGCACGUUGCGUACGCGGCCGGAAGCAGACCUAGCCCCCUUAAUACAAGCGCGAGCUUACGGUCCAGUGCGGCGCGCGCCACUCAGUUGCUGACGUCAAAAGAGCUUCGGCUGAUACCACGACGUCGGGAUACCCAUAACUACUCCCACGUAGAUGGUUAGUGCGUAUAGACCAAAUGGCCAAACUCAGAUCAAAUACCAAGAUCUCAUUAAGCGUGUUAAGUAACCGCGAAUGCCGACCAGGGCCAGGCCCACCUCUCACCUAGGCGGUCUCAACCUGCCUUGUCGCUCCGCCACAAAGAUCCACUCGCGGGUACUCCUACGAGCCGACCCGACUUUAGUCAUCACAUGUGUCAUGUAUAUAGUAUAUAAGUAUAUACCCAUGAUCACCGCCCAGGUGAUCACGGCCCGAUAGUAUAGCACAGCAGACGGACAAGAAUGUAGGGCCACUGAUGGAAAACUAGCAUCCUAUACUAAGCAUGUAGGAUUGCAGGUAAAGGUAACAACAGUAGUAGCAAGGAUAGGCUAUGCAUCAGGAUAGGAUAUCGAAAAGCAGUAACAUGCUACACUACUCUAAUGCAAGCAGUAUAGAGAAGAAUAGGCAAUAUCUGGUGAUCAAGGGGGGCUUGCCUGGUUGCUCUGGCAAGUAGGAGGGGUCGUCGACUCCGUAGUCGAACUGGGCAGCAGCAGUGUCGGUCUCGUAGUCUACCGGAGAGAAGAGGGGGAAGAAACAGUAAAUACAAUGCAAACAUAAGCAUGACGAUGCGUGACAUGACAAUGAGCGGGGCUAGGUGUGUCCUAACGCGACAGUAGGUGGUACCGGCGAAGGGGGGAACAUCCGGGAAGUAUUCCCGAUGUUUUCGCAUUUUCGGACAGACGGACCGGAGGGGGAAAGUUGCUAGUUCGAUAGGUUAGGGAGGUGUGGUGGACGAACGGACUGCGUAUUCGGAUUCGUCUCGUCGUUCUGAGCAACUUUCAUGUAGAAAAAAUUUUCAUCCGAGUUACGGUUUAAAAGAUAUGAAUUUUCGAAGAUUAUUUGAAUUUCUGGAAUUAUUUGAAUUUAGCAAAAAUGAAUUAUGACGUCAGCAUGAGGUAAUGCUGACGUCAGCAGGUCAACAGGUCGGCUGACCAGUCAAACCAGACAGGUGGGUCCUACCUGUCAUAGACAGUGGACUAAUCAGAAGACUAAAUUAACUAAAAUUAGAUUAAUUAACUACUGGACCCCACCUGUCAGUGCCUAAUUAGAUUAAUUAAUUAGUUUUAUUUAUAAAAACAUUUUUUUUGUUAAUUAUGCGGCGGGGCCCGCAUGUCAGCGGCUGGGGCCUGCCCAGUCAGCAGUUGACUGGGUCAACCCAGUCAACUGGGACCCACGGGGCCCACUGGCAGUGGCACUGGGGUGGCCCCAGGCCAGCCACGUCGGCGGUCGGCGUUUAAACGCCGGCGCACGCUCCGGCGACCACCAGAGACGGCGGCGUUGCGCGGAAACGGCGCACAGGGGGCCAUUUGGCCCGCGGUUUCUUCCUACGGGACGGGCGCGACGCGACGCGUUCGUUGGUGGCCGCGAAAAGUACGGGGAUGGCCGGAAACGGCCGCUACCUCGACGGCGGCGGGUGGUGCAUUCGGGCGAAGCUCGGGGUCGGCGCUACGGGGCUCGACGGAGUGCAUGGAUGGGUGCAUCUGGCCCGCACAGACGUGCUGAGCACGAAGCCGGGCUCAGCUGAGCUCGACGGCGAGCAUGGCCGCGACGGUGAAGCGCCGGGCGGCGACCGGAGCUCGGCAACGACGGCAGCUAGCUACGGAGCGCUAGGGGGCCAACGAGGAGCAGCAGGGGGAGGAGAAGCUCACCGUGCGGCACUCACGUAGGCCCUCGACGGAUUAGUAGCUGUAGGUCGGCGCCGGGGAAGAAAGGGAUCGCCGGCGACCGAAGUUGAAGACAAGCUCGGUGUGCUCGUUGUAGGGGCUCCGGUCUCCAACGGGCUGCACCAGUCGAAGCAGCGGGCGACGGCGGUCCUUGGAGACACCGUGGGGCGGCGAGGUGGGCACGGUGGCCGUGGCUAGGCCGGAGGCAUGGCGGCGGUGGCGUUCGGGCGAGGUGGGGAAGGGGAUCGGAGAGGGAGGAGAAGUGGAUCUGGGGGAGGGGAGGCGCAGUGGCGAGCGAGAGGGGCAAGUGGGAGGGAUGGGCGGAGGCCGAGGCGUCGGGGCGGCCUUAUCCUCCCCCGUCGCCGGCGAGGUGGUGCGGCGGGGACCUGCCCCUGUUCCGACUCCGGUCGGGGGAACAGGGAAGGGGAGGGCGACCCGGGGAGGUGGGCUAGGCCGGCUGGGCCUGGGGGCGGCCCAGUUGGGCCAGGGUCCAGUGGGGGGCUUCUCCUUCUCCUUUUUUUUUUCUUUGUUUGUUCUGUUUUCUUUUGUAUUUUCUUUUUAUUUAUUUAUUUUCUUUUCUGUUUUAUUUCAAUUUAAUUUAUUUAGGCAUUUUAUAAAAAUAUGUUUUCUUUAGUAUAAUUACCCUUGUAAUAUUUGGCAUGGCCCGUACAUUUUUGUUUAAAUUUUUGGAAACUUUUAUUUUCCACUUUAAAUUUAAUUUGAAGUUUGAAUUAGGAGUUUGAAAAGAAAUAUGAUUCCAAUGUGAUCAAGCCCUGUUUAGCAACAUGAUUAGCUUAAUCACAGAGAGUUACUGUAGCAUGAUUCUCGGGGUGUUACACUUGGUUACAUCACCAAUGUUGAUUCUGCCAGAUCAACGCAAGGAUUAUGAAGUGUAUUGCGACGCUUCUCGUUGAGGACUUGGAGCCGUACUUAUGCAGGAGGGAAGAGUUGUUUCAUAUGCCUCACGACAGCUUAAACCCCAUGAGUUUAAUUACGCUACCCAUGAUUUGGAGUUAGCAGCCGUAGUGCAUGCGUUGAAGACUUGGAGACAUUUCCUCAUUGGAAACCAUUGUGAGGUAUACACGGAUCACAAGAGUUUGAAGUAUAUCUUCAUGCAGAAGGAGUUGAAUCUCAGGCAGAGGAGAUGGUUGGAACUCAUUAAGGAUUUUGAUAUGAAGUUGCAUUAUCAUACCGGAAAGGCUAACGUAGUAGCCGAUGAGUUGAGCCACAAGAGUCAUGUCAAUACACUCAUGUCCGGAGAGUUACCCAAGGAGUUAGCAGAGGAUCUUCACGAGCUAUGUUUGGAGAUAGUUCCGAGAGGCUAUGUAGCAGCAUUGGAGAUUCAAUCUACUUUGAUGGAUAAGAUCAGAGAAGCUCAGAAGACGGACAAGGAGAUAGCCGAGAUAAAGGAAAGGAUGAGCAAAGGAAAGGCUAAAGGAUUUUGUGAGGAUGAGCACGAUACAUUAUGGUUUGAGGAUCGCGUAUAUGUGCCAAAUGAUCAGGAGAUCAGGAAGCUGAUUUUUGCAGGAGGCCCAUGAUUCGCCAUAUUCGAUUCACCCAGGAAAUACCAAGAUGUCUCUGGAUUUGAAGGAUAGCUUCUGGUGGACCAGAAUGAAGAAGGAUAUAGCGGAGUAUGUAGCAGUUUGUGAUGUAUGUCAGAGAGUGAAGGCAGAGCAUCAGAAGCCAGCAGGAUUGCUACAACCAUUGACGAUACCCGAAUGGAAGUGGGACAAGCUAGGCAUGGAUUUUAUCACGAGAUUGCCCAGGACUCGUUCAGGCUAUGACUCGAUAUGGGUUGUAGUCGAUCAUUUGACGAAAGUAGCUCAUUUCAUCCCAGGGAAGACCACUUACACCAGUGCUAAGUUGGCAAAGAUAUACAUGACCAGGAUCAUAUGUUUGCAUGGAGUUCCGAGGACCAUUGUAUCAGAUAGAGGAACCCAGAUUACCUCAAAGUUUUGGAAUCAGUUGCAUGAAACUUUGGGAACCAGGCUAGAGUUCAGUACAGCUUUUCACCCGCAGACAGAUGGACAGACUGAGAGAGUCAAUCAGAUUCUGGAGGACAUGUUGAGAGCUUGUGCACUAGACUAUGGAUCUAGCUGGGACCAUAAUUUGCCUUACGCAGAGUUCUCUUACCACAACAGCUAUCAAGCCAGUUUGAAGAUUACCCCUUUCGAAGCAUUGUACGGAAGGAGGUGCAGGACACCGUUGUUGUGGGAUGAAGUUGGAGACUGACAGUUGUUUGGACCAGAUUUGAUUAAAGAGUCUGAAGAGAAGGUUAAGCUGAUUCGCGAUAGACUCAAGGUAGCUCAGUCUAGGCAGAAGAGUUAUGUAGAUUCUAAACGCAAGGAGACAGUUUACGAAGUCGGAGACAGAGCGUAUCUUCGUGUAUCACCACUUCGAGGAGUGAAGUGUUUUGGAGUUAAAGGAAAGUUAGCACCACGUUUUGUGGGACCAUACAAAGUUUUGGAACGUAUGGGAGAAGUUGCUUACAAGUUGGAAUUGCCCGAAGGAUUGUCAGGAGUUCACGAUGUGUUCCACGUUUCUCAGUUGAAGAAGUGCCACGUAGAGAUGGCUGAUAUCCCUCUGAGAGAUACAGUGCCACUGGAAGCGAUACAGUUGGAUAGCGAUUUGACCUACGAGGAGAAGCCAGUCAAGAUUCUCGAGUUUGCCAGCCAAGUUACACGCAGCAAAGUUAUCAAGUUCUGCAAGGUUCAGUGGAGCCACCAUACCGAAGAUGAAGCUACCUGGGAACGAGAGAAAGACCUACGGAAGGAUCACCCUCACCUAUUUUCCAGCCAACCCGAAUCUCGAGGGCGAGAUUCAUCUUAAGGGGGGUAGGUUUGUAACAUCCCAAAUUUUCAAUUUGGAAUGUUAUACAUUAGGUCAUCAUUGCAUAUCAUAUUUUAUUGCAUUUUUGCUUGAUCCUAGAAAUUCUACGCAACUCAAGGACCCACGAAGAGAGUUGGGGAUUUCGUUAUUUUCAUAUUUGAGUUUUCUCGAAUUUUGAAAAGACGAUCGUUUGAUUUUAAUUAUUUUCUCUUCGAAUAUUUCUUUUAUGAAAAUAAAAGAGAGAGGAUAAAAUGACUUCCUCAAAAUAAAGAAAUAUUGGAGAUUUAAUAUUAAAGUCAAAUAAGAAUUUUAUUCGGAGUUUUUAUCGCUAUUUUAUUUGAAUUAGGAAAAAUAAGCGUUUUUUUCAAAAUUGCACUAGAGUCCCAAAUAAAUGUUCACCUUGUCCGGUAGAUUUUUAGAGGACGGGGAAAUUUUAUUUCAGGAUUUUUGGAGUCCGUUUAUUAUUUCUUUUAUUUGUUUUUCUGCGCGGAAUAUUUAAAAAAAAGUCAACCGACCUACGGGCCGUGCCCGAGCCAGAUUCCUUCGGCCGGGGGCUUUAUAAGCCGCAGCCCGAGCCGCCCCGAGGCCCAAGCCGCCGCCGCCAUCCCACCCCGCCGAAACCCUAACCCUGGCCCCGCCGCCCGCCAGCCCGCCGUCGUCGCCGCCNNNNNNNNNNNNNNNNNNNNNNNNNNNNNNNNNNNNNNNNNNNNNNNNNNNNNNNNNNNNNNNNNNNNNNNNNNNNNNNNNNNNNNNNNNNNNNNNNNNNNNNNNNNNNNNNNNNNNNNNNNNNNNNNNNNNNNNNNNNNNNNNNNNNNNNNNNNNNNNNNNNNNNNNNNNNNNNNNNNNNNNNNNNNNNNNNNNNNNNNNNNNNNNNNNNNNNNNNNNNNNNNNNNNNNNNNNNNNNNNNNNNNNNNNNNNNNNNNNNNNNNNNNNNNNNNNNNNNNNNNNNNNNNNNNNNNNNNNNNNNNNNNNNNNNNNNNNNNNNNNNNNNNNNNNNNNNNGCCGCCGCUCACCGCCGCCGCCGCCGCCCGACCCCGCCGGAGGUAGCCGUCGCCGCCGUCGGUUUUCGCGAGAAAACCUACCGGUUUUUUUUAGAUCUUUUUUCCGGUUUAGUUAUUUAGCGGACGCCCGUUCGUACGUUCGUCGCCGUUUAACCGGAGACAGCGAACGUUCGUUCGUUAGUCUGUUCGUCAGUUUUUCUUUUUCUCGGAUUUUUCGCGAUUAUUUUCGAUCGCGAUUUGUGAUUCGAUUUUCGUUUUAGUUUAUCUUUUCGCUCAUUUAUCGGAAUCAGGCGAUUCAAGCGCCUAGAGUUUCGUCUCGAAGCCCUCUUUCUAUUUAAUCAACUUAAACAAGUUUUUGCCACUGUAAAUUUGACUUUAGUCCAUAUUAGUAAUCGAAGCUUGUUUCUUUCGCAGUUUGAGUUUCGUUGCUUUGUUUGAUUUGAUUCUUUUUGCAAACCGGAGUUCUUAAGUUGAACUUUCUGGUUAGAUCUUCUUAUUUGAGUUUUACCCGUGCAUCUUUGCUUGAUUGCUUAUUGUAUGCUUGUUUGUUAAUGAUAGAGUACCCGGAGUGCGAAGCGUGCUACUACGAGUCUCUAGGUUUCACGGAUCAUCAGCAAGGCAAGUAACACUUUGAUCAUACCUCUUUACUACCCAAUUUUAUUGCAUUAGAUCAAUCCUCAAACAAUUGCAUGCUUAGGAUCUGAUUAAAUUGUGGGUUUGGGAAGUAGAUAAGGUAGUACCUAUUCACCUGUUUAUUAUCAAACCUAUGGGAGUUACUUCUACGUUGCUUAUAUUGCUAUGCUAUGCUCGUAGACGUGGUUUGGGUUUGAGUGUAUUCAUGACAGAUGUGAGUAUUUUUAAUUAAUGGUUAACUUAAGGUGGCAACUUUAAUACACAUCUGGGUGGAUUGAGGCACCUGGGGAACCUAGUGUUGUCUGUAUUUUUGGAAAUCCCGGGGUACCGUGUGAUUCUCCUAUGGACUGCCACCCAGGCUCAAAGGGAUCAUAAGAUUAUUCAUGCUAGAAGCUUCCAUGUGCAGCCACAUGCCAUUAUGGGCUCUGGCAUAGUUGAGUAAGUUGUGGGAAACCUUUCCAUGAUGGGCUAGCAGAUGUAGGGGAUUGUAGGUGUACAGGCCUAUCUAUCGGUUAAGGGGACCUCUUCGGAAAGACUGUGCCUCGGUCAUCCGUUUCUCAAACAUUAUAUAGUGCGAGAAAUCCAACGGAGGAGAUCGAGUCUUGUGAGGAAAAGUGCGCAAACCUCUGCAGAGUGUACAAACUAAUCAUGGUUAGCCGUGCUCCGGUUAUGGACAUCUUGAGUAUCUAGUUCUUGGAUUAUCAUGUGGAUCUCAUCACUCUUAAUAUAAUUUUGAUUGGGUUUAAUGAUGAUGCUUAAUUGGGAUUGAGUUGGGUGAACCUUCUCAAUGUUUAACAACCACCAUGAUAGUUAAAUAAAAUUUAUUCCAUUUGUUGUAGGCAAAAAUUGGCUUUCCGCAAAACAUAUUAACCAUACAGCCUCCACCAGCCAUAUAUGCAUGUAGUGAUAGUUUUAUUCUGUUCAUUACUCUUUUGUGUUGCCUUGCCAGCAUAUUCCAUGUGCUGACCCGUUUCGGGCUGCAACGUAUCAUGUUGCAGACUUUUCAGACGACGAGUAAGGAGCCAUAGGUCGUUGUCUUUCACUCAGUGAUGCCGUUGGAGUUGAUGGACUCACUUUAUCUUCCAAGCCUUCCGCUGUUAUCGUAUUAGAUGGCCUUAAGCCAUAUUUAUUGUAAUAAGUUUUUUUUGAGACAUUCGAUGUAAUAAGUGUGUGAUUGCUACUCUGUUAUAAAUCCUCAAGUACUGUGCGUGUCAGCAUUACCGAUCCAGGGAUAACACUGAUGCAUAGAGAUCAGACUAUUUGAGGUCUGGUCGCUACAUUUAUUAUUGCCUCUAUGUCAUAUUUCCUUCAGAGGGAGAGCUAGCAUGUUGGUCUAUAGGUAUUUUGAUCAUUAUAACAUGGCAAAAGAGAUGUGAGCUGACAGUAAGGGUGUCUAGUGGCAUUCUGAGCAUGCGCCUAACGAAGCGAUGGUAUUUUUGAGCAGUUGAAAUACCUAGUGGCAAAACAAAAUAAUGAGACACAACUAGUGGCAUAAAUGAUAAAAUCCCUAACCGAAUUGUGCGUACUAAAGACUUUUCACAUAUGUCCAAGGAUAAAGCGUGAGACACAAGGUUAUGUAGAAAAGACCUUUAUAGGUCUCCUUUAUGAUAAAGCAUAGCAAGUAUGCUAAUUCUACACAUAUAAUACAUACAAUGGGAGAUAUAUCACACAACUGCCAUGCUUCCAAAAACAAUAUUUUUUUCCUAACAACAUAACUUGGUAAUUUUGCUUUUAUUUAUACCAUUGUGUAAUUUGGCAGUGGGAUGGUAAGUGCACUAUCCUCUAAGAGACAUAUAAUAAAUCGGAUUGUUGGACAUAGGACGAAAUCAGUUUUCUAGAAAUUAGUCGUCCCCUAAUCAAGUAUAGCUAUUAACUAUGCUAUAUUAGCAUUUUCAAAGAAAGUGAUAAAAGGUAAGCAAUAUAUGGUACCGACGGUAGAAGGACAUGCAACACUUGGGGUUUCUACCGGAACAAAAAGAGUAAACAUGACCGAAUUGCUUAUACUAGAAGACUUCUCACAUAUGUCCAAGGAUAAAGCAUGACACACAAGGUUACGCAGAAAAUCCCUUUGUAGGUUUCCUUAUCCUUAAUGAGUAAGUAUAGCAAGUAUGCUUAUUCGUCACAUACAAUACAUACAAUGAGAGAUAUAUCACACAAUCGCCACGCCUCCCAAAGCUCAUUAAAGUAUUUUUUCCCAACAAUAUGACCCGGUAAUUUUGCUGCACCUAACGCUUCCUCAAAGAUUUUAUUUCACACCAUCGUGUAAUUCGGCAGUGAGAUGGUAGGUGCAUUGUCCUCUAGCUCGUGUUGUAGGACACAAGUUGUUUUCCAAAAGUAAGUUUAAAACAUUUCAUCCCCCAAAACCAAAAUCAAACAUGACUAACUAAUCACUUAUGUCACAUUAGUGUUUCUAGAGGCGGAGAGAAAAAAAGUAAGCAAUACAUAGUAUCAACAAUACAAGGACAUGCAACAUAUGAGUUUUAAACCCUAGAAAAGGUAGAAUUAACCGAAUUCUUCUAUUACAAAACUUCUCGGUGCGCCCAAGGAUAGAGCAUGACACACAAGGUUACACAGAAAAGACCUUUGUAGGUUUCCUUUACAAGUAAGCAUAUCUCGUCAUGUAGGAUAUGUACAAAUUGGAGACAAGAUCACAUAGUUGUCAUGUUCCCAAAGUCUUAUGGCUCACUAAUAUGUAUUUUUGCUGACCCUGCAACUGUGCUGUACACCUACUUUUUUUUUUAAAAAAAGGGUCCUGUUCGUGAGACGAUUUUUUUAGGGAAACCAGCAGAGGCGAUUUUUUAAAUCGCGUUGACGAGAGCGCUCCCAACCGUCUACCUACCCCACCACGGCACCAUCUCGUCCGUCAUGCGUGCGUGCGUGCCAUCUUUGUCACCGCGCUCGCCGCUUCCCCCCGUACGUGCGGCGCGCGAAUCCGAGCUACCGUCAUCCACACGCGGCGGCGGUUAGGAUCCGGUUCCCGAUCGGCACCGACACCGGGAGAUCCGCUCAGAAAAUGACCCGGAAAAGUUCCAAAUCUGGCGCGCGGCGAGGAGAGGGAUGGGAUGGGGGGAAAGGAAGGGGAGGCGGCUGAGCGGGA